rnacentral:misc_RNA from 1 species
GAGUUUUCUUGACAGUGGCUUGAACGCCGAUGCUGACAACAUCUCUUCCUUGAGCUGAGCUUCAGGCAGCGAUCCUGAAUUUCUGAAUUGGGAACAAAGAAUUAUGUUUCAUUUGAUUAAGUCUGGUAAAGAUAACAAUAAAUGAAAGAGAUGGGUAGAUUAGCAGUUGCAGUGAUAGUGAGCUUGUGGGUGCUGUCUUUCACUUGCCUAUCUUGCUUGUUGGUUUCCAGGCAUGUAUCUUGUGCAAAAGGUGUCAUUGUUUCAUGAAGUGUGUUCUGCUGCAAUGCUACGCACUAUGAAUGUUGUUUUGGCGGAAUGUUGUUUUGGCGGUAUUGUGGAGCAUCAUUUUAUAUGAGAUAAUCACCUACUUGAGACCAACUCUUGAUAAAGGAAAAGCAACUUUUUUGGCUGUGAUCCUAGCCCUGUAUCCCUUCCUCUGGUUCUUCACUUUUCUUGACUAUACUGAUGUUGCAUAACUUGCUGUAAUGCUCGCUAUGUAUCUCACAUGCUUGAAGAAGAAAUAUCACUGAGUGCAUUGGUAAAGGAGUUGUCUCAAUUGUCAUUGUAUUGGAUGACUACACGACUAGCUUUCCAGAUACUACUUAAGACAGUAUGGUAGAAUCCCUUACAGAGCAUUCUCUCCUCUCCUGCUUUAUACUUUUAUAAGAAGAGGAAAGUUUUUGAGUGAAUAUAGUGAGGAGCUUUUAAGCUUACAAUUCUUUCAAGUGAUCUUUUUCAGAAUGAAAAUCUCAACUAAAGGGUUAUAAUCUCUGAUGCUUUCUAAAAUUUGGGUCUGCUAGGAAAGGUUGAAUAACACUUUAUGUUUCGCCACUAGAAACCAAUCAUGGGCUACACUUGGAUGCCUAGUCUAUGAGGGAAUGUUGUGAGUUGUGAUGCCUUGGGCCUAGUAAUUUCAAUCAAACAUUUUGUUAAGCAUUCCACAUCAGUUAGAUAUAUGGAUAAUAUGCCCCUUAUAAAGACUUGGGUAAUCUUUCCCUCUUAAGCAAGCUUUUAAGGUUGAGUUAGCCUCAUCCCUUUUCUCUAUGUGGUGUUAGAACCUCUCAAACCAAUAUUUAAGCCUCCCAUAAGUGUUUCACGCACCAAGCAUUAGCCUUGGGUGUGAGGGGUGUGUGUUAAGUAUCCUACAUCGGUUAGGCAUGUGAGUAAUGUGCCCCUUAUAAAGACUUGAGUAGUCUGCCCCCUUUGAGCUAACUUUUGGGAUUGAGUUUAGACCUAGUCCAUUUUCUCUACACAUUUCAAUGUCAUCAUUUAUAUCUCAAAACAAACAGUGUUGUCACAUAACUAUAUGCUCAUGAAUAUGCGUUUGGCUCCUUUUUGACUCUGAGUUGUUAAAAGUUUUCUGUGUUGCUUGAGGAACAACACCUCUCAAGUAGAGACCCAAGUAGCAUUACUUUAGUAACCUUGAGGUCUUAGUCUUUGGGGUUGGUUGUUAGAUGCAUUAUCAACUUAGAGAUGCUAAAUUUGAAGAAUUGAUUGGGAAAUGAUCUGCAGCAACUUGAAUGGAAGAAAUUCAACUUUUAGAACAACAUCAGCAUAUUAUGCAUUGGAUUGUAAUUUAUAGGAUAGGAGCAGCAUAUUAUGCAUUCAUUUCAUUUUUGUAAAAAUACUUUUGCACAAUUGCUGAUGGUCUAGUUUUGUGGAACUUACUAUCUCUUUUCUUUUUGCUCUUUUUGGCUUUAGCAGCUUGGUACCUUUACAGUUUUCACUCGACAAACAAAUGUUAUAUGGAUGCUUUUUGUCGCAUGCACUGGGGUAAUAGAUAUUACUCUGACCCAUCCAAGAAAAAAAGUGAAAGUAGAUGAGUUAAAUGAAUCAGUGAAGGAAACUGGCCGAUUAAUUCCUAACAAUUCUGUCUCAGCAAGCUCAAAUAUGAGAAGACGAAAGCCCAAUAGUGCGGAUGCUAGCAAAUAUUCAGCAACUGCUGCAAAUGGCUCCUCAUCAACCCAGUCUUCAGGUUUUCUUGAUGAGAUUCAGGACAUCUGUUUGGCAUCAUGGCAUAUGAAGUGGAAACUUUUCAUAUCCUUUUGCCCCUUCUUUAUGGUAUUGGUGGCCUUUGUUGCUUUUGUCCGUUGGAAUGGCAGUGUGGUUCUUGGUACUACUCAUAUUAUCUUACUCUAUUUGAUGGAGUAGGAAUUUGUUUCUUACUCUGUUUCUUGAUGUUUCAGGUGCAAAAGAAGCUCAUGCAGUUUCACCUCAUUUUGCACAGAUAAUGUAUUUUAGUCUGGUUUCUACUCUGGCAACAGCCCCACUGCAUUUUUCUUUAUGUCAUGUUGCAAAUAUGUUCCAGUCAUUCUGGAAGAACAGACUGGGCUUUUUUCAGUGGUUAGUGGCUCUUACUGCCGGCUUCCUCUCUGUUCAUUUUUUCAGGUCAGUUCAGACAUCUAUAUUAUAUCACAUGCUGAAUGUUAUGAAACACAUAAUUCAUAGCUUGUCUGCUAAAACUCCAUAAACUGGGUUCUUGUAGAGAAAUAUCUUUUGUUGGAUUUGUAGGAAAGAAAGUCACAUCUUUACACUGUUUUGUAUGUUGACUAUUCUUAUGUACUCUAUUGUCUCCCUCUAUUUCAUAAUAAAGUUGACCAGUAAUGUUACAGCAUAGCCCAUCCCUAUCUUGUUGCUGACAAUCGGCAUUAUACCUUCUAUCUCUGGAGGAAAGUCAUCAAAGCACAUUGGUUGAUGAAGUACCUUUUGGUUCCAUUUUAUGUUUAUUCGUGGUCUUCAAUCUUCAAUAUUUUGGGGAAAGUUCGACAGAAAGUGUGGGUUUUGACAUAUUUCUUGGCUACGGCUGCAGUCCUAGUUCCUGCUCCAUUAAUUGAGUUCAGAUAUUAUACCAUACCAUUCUAUUUGUUGAUACUUCAUUCUCAUAUUGAUGAUAAUGAAAGUUGGAUUGCUAUGGGACUGAUGUAUUUGGUAAUCAAUACCUUCACGAUGAUGAUGUUUUUGUUUAGACCAUUCAAUUGGAACCACGAACCUGGGGUCCAGAGGUUUAUUUGGUAGAUGGACUCCUGGAAGAUGCUUCACAUUAUUUUCACAUUUUUAAUUUUUAUCACUCGGGGCUCUGCCUUUGAGAGGUGUGUUUUAGCUUCCAAAGCAAUGGAACAAAAUUACUUCUUGUUGCUUUAUGACUCUGGGAUUCUAUCCCGUUGAUCUCAUGAUCGAAACUCCUUGUUCCUUUUUAACUUGCUUGCAAUGAGAAAAAUAACUCAUUGAGAUGGCUGCAGCUUCUUGCAUUUUUGUCUCUGGUAUGCUGGUGCGACCGCCACCACCUCCAUUUCUAAAUUGUUCAUGCAUCUCAACAAUUUAUCUCGUUCUCCCCCAUCCCCUUUAGUUUCUCUUAACUGAAGAAAUGUAAUGUACCUAGCAACUAGGGUAUGGUUGGGUCAUAUCCGUAGUAUGUCUU